GUGUGCGCUCUCACAUUCUCUUGUUAUAGAUGGUAUUCCACUUACUUUUAUAGAUGGAGUUUUUGUUUAUCUAGUUUUACAUUGUCUCAGACACUGAGUCAGUCAGAACCCUGAUUUGGAACUAGAAAUGCACAUUAUGUUCAUCUAUGUUUUUGAAAAUUUGAAAUCUAAAAUUCUCCCUUAAAUUUCCAGAAUAGAUCAGGGCCCAUCCAAGUGGGGACAGCACACAGAAGCCUGAGAUGACGGGGUUAGAACAGCCUGAGUGGGGCCUGUGGGGCCGGGCGUCCAGCGAGGGUCGUCAGCAUGGUCCAGUCCUGCCGAGAGGUUGGGUUUAAUGGGGACAUGGAAGAGCCCAUUUGGAUUUGGUCUUUUCAUGGUGACAGAUUACCUUCUUCAAAAGAGUGGCUUUGAUGUUAUAAAGCUACAGUCAGGAAAACCGCAUGGUUCGAGUUGAAUGGAGAGUGAACGUUCUGUGUACUGAAGCAUGUACGCUGAGAUUCGAACGCAUACAAGGUUAGAAUCUUCUGAAUGUGGCAUCAUUGCUUAAUGUGCUUCGACAGCUCUCCACUGUUUGGAUGAGCAGUUGAAUUAGGGCCUCACUGCACGCUGUUACGGGCUGAAUUAUGUCUCCCUCAAAAUACAUAUAUUGAAGUCCUAACCCCAGUUCCUCAGGAUGUAACUUUAUGUGGAAAUAAUGUUGCAGAUGUGAUUCAUCAAGAUGAGGUCAUACUGGAGUAGGCUGGGCCCCUUACCCAGUAUGACCGGUGUCCUGUUCCAAGGGAAAAUUUGGACACAAAUAGACAUGGGACAAGAAUACCACAUAAAGAUAAAGGUGGAGAUUGCAGUGAUGCUUCUAUAAGCCCAGGAACGACAAAAAUGCCGGCAACCGCCAGAACUUCCAGGAGAGGCCUGAAAUGGGUUCUCCUUCCAGCCCUCAGGUGGAUCAGACCUGCUCACAUCUUGAUCCUAGACUCCUAUUCUGCAGAACCGUGUGACAAGUUUCUUUUGUUUAACUGACCUAGUUCAUGGCAUUUUGUUAUGGCAGCUAAUAAACAUACACUGAAAUAUUUCUAGGUUGAUUAGCCUGUUACCAAAAAUCAGACCUUAGGAGGAGUAGAAAAAUAUACAGUUGAAUAAUUAAUUAGUCCUCAGAUUAAGGAAUGACACCUUAACUAUUAAAGCAAUAGGUAAAAUCAUAGUGGAAGAUUGCUGGAUUUGACCAUGAAGAAAAUUAAUGCUAUAAAUCAAAUGUUAAACUGUUGAUAAGCUGCAAAAGAAUAUUUGCAAUAUUCGUAUUUGCAAUAUCCUAAAUAAAGAGCUCUUAUAAAUCAAUAAGAAAAGGGUAAAUCUCCUGUCUCUAUUCCUUGAUUUCUUUUUCUCCCAAGAUAUUUUCCUACUCCCAGUUCAUUUACUACUUCCACCAAAAAAACAACUUUUUACACCUUCUCUUCCCCCUUCUAACUUCUCACCUGGUACCCUAGCCUUGAGCUUAGUGGGCAGGACCUGCUAUCCAUGAGAGCCACCUGCCGUGUCUGACACCUGUUUCAUCCAUUCCCUAUCAGCACCCACCUGCCUGCCUUCCCACCCAAACAGGACAACACGUCACUCCAUUCGCAGCUGCGCCCUUUAUCUUCUCUGGGACAUUGAGCCUGCAGUCAUUGUCUUUUCCUUCCUCCAUGGUCAGUUUCAUCCUCAUUCCAGAAUCAUUCCUGCUUGCAUUUGCACCCAUGCCUUGACAUGUCUCAUCUAAGUGAAGCCCUCUCAUAGCCACAUUCCUCUCCAGCCACUGCUUCAUUUUAUGCUGCUUUUCUGCAGACCUCUCAGGACCAGCUGCUGGACUCCGUGUCUCUGCUUCUCAUCUCCUGGUUUCACCCCUGCCCACCCUAGUUGACAUUCUGUUCUACCAGCUGCCCAAAAUGGGUCUCAUCAAGGGGCCUUGUGGCCUGCCUCUGGUCAAGACCAGUGGCAUCUUUGGUGGCAUCUCAGCAACAUUUGACACAGCCUCGAUUCCUAGACACUUGCUUCCCUAAGUGUUUUUGACCCAGCUUGUGAUCUCCUCAUCUCUCUGCUCCUUCAUCCCUUUGCUGUCUCCUGCUCUGCCAGGGUGCUGGGUGUUUGGAGGCCUGCAAGCCUCUGUCCUCAGCCACCCCUACUCUAGCGGCCUUCUUUCAGAGUGACCGCGUCUGGCCCCAUGCCAUCAGAUGCCAUCCCUUUGCUCUUGAUUUGGAUCUAUAACCAGGACAAGUCACUGCUGAGAGGUGCCCUCCACCUUCACUUGGGUCUCUAGUUGCCAUGUAAAAUUGAACACAAAGAAAAUCCGAUCAAAGUACGUUCCACCAAGGCCUCCUUGCCUAACUGAAAGGGACCGUCAUCUGCUCUGUUGCUCUGGCCAGUGAAGAGGAGUGUAUCCUUGAUUCUCCCUUUGGACUCAGCUACAGAUCCAGUCAACUCUCCGUCUCCAGCGCGUCUCACAGCCAGUGCUUCCUGCCCGCUCUGCUGCGCUAUAUCCAGUCCCAGCCUGGGACGACACAGCAGCCUGUCUCCUGCUCACCUCACCCUGCCUUACAUCAUCCACAGCCCAGCAGCUCUUGUGUGAUUUCUGGACAGUCAGUCGAAUCCCGCUGUCCUCCCAUCGCACCUGGCGUUAAAUCCAGGCUCUCCCCUGAGGGGUGCAUGGUCCCGUUCUCCACCCCUUCCCCUGUGGGGACCGUCACUGUGCUCCACCCGCCCUGGCCUACUUGGUCCCUCACGUUUGCCGGCUCACGUGCACCUCUGUGCAUUUCCUCUGUGGCAUCUCCACGCCGAGGGCUCUUCCCUGAGACCUCUCCUUCACUGCCACUUUGUCAUCAUUUGGGUUUCCGUUCAAACAUCUCUUCCUCUGAGGCCUUCUGGGGCUACUUUGAAAAAGGCAGUGCCCGCAGCCAGCUUCCCUCUAACACAGCACUUGCUGUGUCUCUGUGUUGCUCACUGUCGCCCGAGAUUAUCUUGUUUGGUAACAUGUUUCUCUGUUUUUACCUCUAGAACGCACCCAGCUCCCCCUGGACAGGGACAGGGCCUCUUAUUCACUGCUCUGUCCACACCUCCAAGAACAGAGCCCAGCAUAUCCCAGGCAGGCCUUGUUUUUGCAGAAGUUCCAGGUCCUCUUCUAGGGGGAUGGUGGCCCUUGCUUUGGCAGAGCCAAGAUCAGAACCCAGCUCCCCAACAUGGGUUUCCUAGCCCCAAGUCCUGUGGCCAUUCAGGAGCAGGAAGAGGCAGCUGCCCUUAACAAAUGCAUCCAUCAGGAGCUAGGCUGCUCACCUUGAGUAAAUCUGAGGCCUGGGAGUCAUACCCAGAGUACUUUGUCCUCUCCUAGUGGAGUGGCAGAGCUGAGUAGCGUGCCCCUUGAAAGCAUCAGAGAAAGACCUUGGACACCAUUAGUAGUGUCUCAGUGACCUUGAUGACUUCCAGAAAUAGUUUGCUGGCCUCACAGCACACUGCCCUGAAGAAGGAAAAUUCUGGAAGCCCAGAGGGAGUAGCUGCAGGAGAGACGGGGUCAACUGGAAACUCCCGCGGUGUUCGGUGGGAAGGGGACCUGUGUUCUGCCAUCCUUGGGCUGACAGAGGACUUGGGAUAAGGAUUCCCAAAGACAAAAUUGAGGGUGGGUCUUCUUUACCGCCUUGGGUCAAGGCUCUGCCGCCUUUUCCCUCACAAAUUAAGGCAGUGGUUAAAAUUACUGUUUUCAGAUGAGGAUGAUCAUUUUCCUUGAUUUCCAAAUGUUCCUUUUUAAACCUUUUUAAAAACGCUCCAGCAGCCCAGCUUUUAUACCCGCGUGCUGUUCAGUUCCUCCUGUUCCCGUCAGGGUGACAUCCACGCGGCUAAAGCCCGCGGCGUUCUCUGUCUUCCACGUGCUGGGCUUGUAGCAGCGAGGGCCUUCUGUCACUCACUGCUCUCCUUUCCACGGCUCCAUCUGGGUUCCCUCCCUCUUUACUGGCGGUUCCUUCUCAGCCUUCCUUGUCUCUUCCUGUUUUUCCAGUCACUGGGGCUUAGUGUUUCCUUUCUCCUCUCUGCGCUCCCGCCCGGGCCAGCUGCGGCCGUUCCCUCAGCUUUCCACCUUGUCCUUAUGCUCGUUGCUCCCAGGUUUACAUUCCCAUCCAAAUUCUUCCUCAAACCUCAGACUCCUGUUUCCAGCUGCAAUGUGGCACCUCCACGUGGGUGCUUAAAAGACACUGCCAACUCACCAGGUCCAAAGUCAGCAUCUGAUCCUCCCCUCCAGACAUGAUAUCUCCAAAUUCCCAUCUCAGAGUGGCAGAGCAGUCCCCCGUCGGAAUUUCACUCCUCUUUCGAGUUUCACGCCACCUCAGCCUGUGUACCAGAACUGGACAGCGCCUGCCUGUCUCUGCUGCAGGACCCAGGCCUGGGCUUUGCCUUCCUUGCCUGUGUUGUUGUUGAGAGCCUCCUGACUCAGCUGGUCCUCACAUUCUGCCGCCUGGAAGCGAGCAGCAGUCAGCCCAUGGCAUCUUUUGCUGCCUUCGAGGACCCUCUUAGCCAGCAGCCCUUUGCUAACCAUAUUUCCGUUGCCUUCCGCCACAUGGCAGUCUCUGAAUUUUGCUUUUUGUCUGUCUUCCCUACUUGAAUGAAAUUCCAUGAAGUCAAGUGAUUUUAUUCCAGACCCAAAUCCCAGCACCUUGGUUCCUAGCACUGAUGAGGUUCCUAGGGAGCAUCUGCUGAGUGAGUGACAGCGAGGGCACAUCCCCACCCUCCCCAUGCAGCUGGAUCAGAGAUGGCUUGAAGAGGUUCAGCCAGUCUAACUCAAAUCUGAAGACAUUUUUCCAGAUUAUAGAUUACAUGUUAGGUUUAAUGUUUCGUUAAAUUUAGAUUACCACUAAAAAAACAUUUUUUGAAAAAAGAUGUUACUCGUGGAAAUCCCUCUUGUAAUUCUGUAGCACAAAUUAUUUUGAUCUGUUUUUUAGGUUAUAAAAUGUUGUGGUUAGAUACCGUAUCUCUAUAACCAAGGUCUUUAUCUAGACAUUGAUAGAUCCUGAGAUUGUUUUGUUGUUUUGCUGACAUUGUUGUGAUUCUAGUCAGAAGAGAAAAUUGUACUGUUCCUUCCUAAAUGAGCUGUCUUCCAUAGUAGGUAUACUUCAUCUUAUGGUCCACGUUUUCUGCCUCUUCUUAGUUAGUGGUACUUUCAUGGAUACCCACGGUUGCUGACCUUGUGGCCAGGAUGAGUGGAAGAGCCUUGAGCCCGGCUCUGCAGCCGCGUUCCUAUCUGGCCCGACUGGCCUGGCGAGGUGGGAAUGGUGCCCGCAGCAGCAGGACUGGCUAAGCAUAAGUAGGUGAGAUGGAUUCAGUUGUUGAAUCUUUAUACCAGUUGGUUCAAGAGCUACUUCCUUUUAUGGAGAAAAGGGUCUCCAGGAACAUGAAUCCAUUAGAGGCUAGCAUUUUCCCCAAAGAUGUUCAUGUGGAAAUUCUCUUCCCACUUCACCCCCACUCGUCUCUUUCCAAAGAAGUUGGUUCAUUCAGUCAAGGCAUGACAAUUUGCAGACCCUAGAACUACAAACAGGAUUCAGAGUCAGGAGUAAGUUUGCUGUGACUUAUUACCAUCACCUGUGUCCAACCAGGAGACCAAAAAAGGAGAACCUAAUUUAAUUACAAAAGUAACGUUCAUAGUAAAAAAAAAAAAGAAAACAAUCAAAAGUGAAACAAAUGCUGCAAAAAAGUAUCCGGUAAAUGAUGAGAUUCACUUUCUUCUCUGUUUCCAACCCCAGUCUCAUUCUCCAGAGAUGAGCACUAUGGACAGUAUCUUGUGUAUCAUAGUUUCUGUUUUGCCUUCCCAGUUAACAGUAUUUUUGUGAUUAUAUAAUUUCAUUUUAAAGCUUACUUUUUAUGUGCAUUCUUGUGAUUUCCUCUGCAGCUUCAUGUGUUUCACUGCUUGGAGGUGCUGUGAUUGAUUUACCUCAACCCUCUUUUGAUGGACAGCUCUGUCGUUUGCAGUUCUUUCUAAUUAUGAAUAGAGCUGAAAUGAACAUUCUCGUGCAUAGGUCUUUGGUCAUUAAUGGGGAAGUGGAUGAAUAGACAGAUGAAUAGGUUGGUUCCCAGCAGUGUCAUUGCUGGAGCAAAAGUUUUAUGUGUUUAUAAGAAUAUGGGUGGGUGAUAUGGGUGGGUGUAGAAAUUCAUUUUUAUAAAUAAUACCAAGCGCUGUAGAUCACUUAUAAUAUGGUGCGAAGGCUUGUGACUUGGGGGCUGGCCACUGGCUGGGACUCUGCAGUUCCUCGCAGUGUGGCUUUCGACCAGUUCUCUCACUGCCCAGGGCCUCGUACCACUGGGACGAUGGUGACAGUUCCCUGGGUGGUGGGGGGACCGUGUCCAGGCAAUCCAUCACUUUGAUUGGCUGUUUCUGUAGUUUCCAGAAACUCUAGACGAUGUUUACUGAGCCUGUCUGGAGCAAGUGGACAGACCCCAAGAGGUCUGAUACAGCGGCGUUUGCUUUCAGACCUGCCUGGAGACCUCUUGGAGUCUGAGAACUCCGGGCGAUUGGAGGAUGGGGGUAAGAUGUACACAGUCAGUUUCAGAAUGAAGAUGGUACUGGGGGGUGUAGCCCUUUUGUAGUGUUUUAGCGAUUCUGCGCCUGCUGUGUCUCUCAGCUUCUCAAACUUCACUGUUUUCUAAAUUUCCAGUGAAUCUGCCAGUCUUCCUUCACCAACCACUCCACUCAUCCCAUACCCAGCCCCAUCCACCUGUCUGUCAUUGUUCUGUCUGUCUAGCAUGUGCCCCACCCUCCUAGCCUCACCUGCGUGAUUGUGGGGCCUUAGCAGAUAGGACAGCCUGCCCUGCUGGCUGGUGGGUGGUGGCCCAGUGGGCUGUGUAGAAGCUGAUUUCCUGUGCUUGCCAGGAUGGUACUAUGAUCCAGGGCACUGUUGCAUGGCAGGCCUUACAGAGCCUACCUGAGGCUCCCUACUCAAAAAAUCACAGUUAGACCUGUCCUGCUUACUGAAGGGCUCAGGCAAGAGUUUUUCUGUAACGGAGUGACCAUCAGUCAGUGACAGGGUUUGAAAUAAGAAAUGAAGAAGUUGUCCUGAUAAAGACAACCGUUACUGUAAAAGUAGACUGAUUAUAUUACAUGCGUUUCAGGUUGCUGGGGGGCUGCUUUUGGUUGGAGUGACCUGCCAAUACAAGAGGUGGGAAGAAGGCAGUGGGGGCUGGUGCCAUGUCUUUUCCCUAUCUGUGGGCCUGAGCUCGGCCAUUGCAUAGCCACCAAAUAAAGAGCUUGGGCAUGGACAAGGGGAGCCUGUGAUGGCCGGCUUGUGGGACCUCACUGGGCAGGUGCACACACACCUGUAGGGACCCAGUUCCAGUGGCUGGACUCAUGGAACCCCACCUGGACACCUGGGAUAUUUUGUUGAACCAGUUGACCUCCUCAGCGGUGACUGAGCCAAACUGGCCAGGUAUUUUGGAUCUUAAACAUCUGGGAUCAUGAAGACAGCUGUUGAAUGGAAAAGGAACAUAGAUGCUAAUGGUGAAGAUAGCCCUGAAACAAGGGCCCCCAUGCUUUCCACUGUGUGACUUCCCAUUCUGGGGUGACCGUUGCUGUGGGAAAAGACACAGAUGCUGAGUGACGA